UCUAAGAAUGGAGUUUGCUACUUCACAUGAUGCAGAGGCAGGCUUGAUUCUGGAAUGAUGAAUCCACGGGUGAUCUCUGUAACUUUCACGGUGCACUACUCAGCAUGUGGUCUUGGUUAUCACUUUGGUGGCUGGAUAGGCCUCUGGCCAUCCUGAAAACAUGUCUACUAUAAUUAGUGCAUAUUUGAACCAGCCACUCUUUGGCAUUCUGGAUGUAGUCAAC